rnacentral:sRNA from 1 species
CCUGCCGGCGGACGGAACGGGCAGCGAGGGUUGGGGAACCCGACGACCUGCCAGUUCCGAGAGCCGCACGGGUCCUAGGGAGCCCGAACGGUUCGCUCCAGCGAAGGAG